rnacentral:rRNA from 1 species
UACGUAGGGGGCUAGCGUUGUCCGGAUUUAUUGGGCGUAAAGAGCGUGUAGGCGGCCAGGUAGGUCUGGUGUGAAAACUCGAGGCUUAACCUCGAGAUGUCAUCGGAAACCAUCUGGCUAGAGUCCGGAAGAGGAGAGUGGAAUUCCUGGUGUAGCGGUGAAAUGCGCAGAUAUCAGGAAGAACACCAAUGGCGAAAGCAGCUCUCUGGGACGGUACUGACGCUAAGGCGCGAAAGCGUGGGGAGCGAACAGG